UACGGAGGGUGCAAGCGUUGUCCGGAAUUACUGGGCGUAAAGGGCGCGUAGGCGGAUAUUUAAGUCGGGGGUGAAAGCCCAGGGCUCAACCCUGGAAUAGCCUUCGAUACUGGAUAUCUUGAGUUCGGGAGAGGUGAGUGGAACUCCGAGUGUAGAGGUGAAAUUCGUAGAUAUUCGGAAGAACACCAGUGGCGAAGGCGACUCACUGGCCCGAUACUGACGCUGAAGCGCGAAAGCGUGGGGAGCAAACAGG
rnacentral:rRNA from 1 species